CCUACGGGCGGCUGCAGUGGGGAAUAUUGGACAAUGGGCGAAAGCCUGAUCCAGCGACGCCGCGUGUGUGAAGAAGGCCUGCGGGUUGUAAAGCACUUUUAGUGGGGAGGAAACGCUCAGACCUAACACGUCUGGGAACUGACUUAACCCAAAGAAAAAGCACCGGCUAACUCUGUGCCAGCAGCCGCGGUAAUACAGAGGGUGCAAGCGUUAAUCGGAAUUACUGGGCGUAAAGCGUGCGUAGACGGUUAUUUAAGUCGGGUGUGAAAGCCCCGGGCUCAACCUGGGAAUGGCAUUCGAGACUGAAUAGCUAGGGUGCGGAAGAGGGAAGCGGAAUUUCCGGUGUAGCGGUGAAAUGCGUAGAUAUCGGAAGGAACAUCAGUGGCGAAAGCGGCUUCCUGGUCCAGCACCGACGUUCAGGCACGAAAGCGUGGGGAGCAAACAGGAUUAGAUACCCCAGUAGUC
rnacentral:rRNA from 1 species